AGAGAGAGAGAGAGGACAGAGAAGCAAGAGGAGGACAGUGUUGCCGUCUGGUGGGUCGAUCAUUUUAGACACAACACCGCUAAUAGUAACACAGUGAUACAUAAACAACACAUCUUCUCUACGUGUCCCAACUGUGUGUGUUGCCAGGAAGAAGAAGAAGAAGAAGAAGAAGAAGAAGAAGAAGAAAAGAGGAUAAAGAAAACGAGGGAGAGAAGGAAAAGAAUAAGAAAAUCAAGAAGAAUGAGGAGAAAAAAAGAACAGACUGAAGAAGGAAAAGGAGAAGAAGGAAAAGAAAGAGUGAGGAUACAUAGGAAUACAUAGGAAGAACAGACACCAGAUGACAAGGAUGAGGACACAGAAUAAGAGGAAGAGAAGAAAAGAAGAAGAGGAGAAGGAAGUAGAUGACAAAAGGAAAGAGACAGAAAUAUAAGUGCGUGUGUGUGUGUGUGUGUGUGUGUGUGUGUGUGUGUGCGUGUGUGUGCAUUCGUGAAGGUCAACAUAUCAUUAUCAUGAGCACAAAACCUGCAUACAUAAAAAUAUCCAAAAUACACACACAUACAUACAUACAUACACACACACAGAAAAGGGAAGGUGAUUACAAAAAAAAAAAAAAAAAAAAUCUAAGAUACACACAUACAAACUUACACACACACACGUACAUACACACAUAUACCAUUAAUUAAGAGCACACCAGGUAGCACUAUCAAUACCAGGUGCUGCUACAGGUAAAUCAUUAAUUGGGCAACAGGGAAAAGGACCAGGGGAAUACCAGGUAAUUUAUAUAGUGCAUGGUAGCGAGUGAGUGAUGUUAUGUUAGUGAAGUGAACAGUGAAAGUGAGAAUAGAGGUUAAUUGGGGCUUUUAAAAAUGGUGUAGAGAUGAUUAUAUAAUGUCAGGUGUUGUUUUUGUUACUUAUUAUUAAUUUUGAAGGUAUGUUGAAGAAGGAUGAUGAUGGUGAUGAUGAAGUUAAUACGUUUUUUUUUUUGUGUGUGUGUGUGUUCGUGUGUGAUGACGUAAAAAAGAUAAUAGGUAUGAACUAAUGGUUUUGUCUUAGUUACUUAUUAUUAAUUUUGAAGGUAUGUUGAAGAAGGAUGAUGAAGGUGGUGAUGAAGUUAAUACGUUUUUUUUUUUGUGUGUGUGUUCGUGUGUGAUGACGUAAAAAAGAUAAUAGGUAUGAACUAAUGGUCUUGUUUUUGUUACUUAUUAUUAUUUAUUUUGAAGGUAUGUUGAAGAAUGAGGAUGAAGGUGAUGAUGAAAUUAAUACGUUUUUUUUGUGUGUGUGCGUGUGUGUUCGUGUGUGAUGACGAAAAAAAGAUAAUAGGUAUGAACUUAUGGUCUUGUUUUUGUUACUUAUUAUUAUUUAUUUUGAAGGUAUGUUGAUGAAUGAGGAUGAAGGUGGUGAUGAAAUUAAUACGUUUUGUGUGUGUGCGUGUGUGAUGACCAGAAAAAGAGGUAUGAACUGAUGGUCUUGUUUAUAUAAGUCCAUUCCAUAUCAGGCGACAGUCGGUCAGGCGAGAGGUCCUUCCCCAUAGACGAGAAGAAAGACAGCCCGCUUUCAACACGUUUGCCCGACUUCCACCGGGUUAGCUAUCAAGCCUUCACCAGCGACACAGCGGCGACCCUCUUCCUUCAUUGCCUACAGGGAGUGACUUUUCGCCUGACUAUAGUGGUGGUGUUAGUGGUGUUAGUGGUGGUGGAGGUGAAAAGGGAUAGAAAAACAUUAUAUAAUUCGUGAUAUUAGUCGAUUCAUCUCCUUUCCUUGCUUCUGCUGAGGAGGAGGAGGAAGUGGAGAGGAGGGAGGAGGAGGAGGAGGAGGGGAGGAGUGCUGCAAAAAAGGAGGAGGAGGAGGAUUGGUGGUGGUGGUGGUGGUAUUGGUGACAGGAGCAUUUGUGUUAUAUUAUUAGUAGUAGUUGUAGUAGUAGUAAUAGUGGUAGUAAUGUUGGUGGUAGUCGUUGCAGAUGUAGUAGUAAUUGCAGUAAUGGGUAGAAAUAGCAGCUAUUACGUUAAAGCAUCGAGGUUAGUGCUACGGCUAGUCUUGUUAAUACUACUGCUGGGGCUGCUGUUGCUACUGCUUCUGCUGCUGCUACUGGCGCUGGUGGUAGUGGAGCAGAAGUAGGAGUUGUUGUUGUUGUUGUAGUAGUGGUGGUGGUGGUUCUAAUGCUGCCACUACCAACACCGCUGCUGCUGCUACUGGAGGUGCUGCUGUAGAGGUUUGCUAGUGCUUAGGGAGGAGCAGGUGAGGCAAAGAGAAAGGGAGGUAGGGAGACUUCAAAUUCGGGCACAUAUUCUUAAACAUUUCGGGUCCCAAGAACGCACAUUUGACAAGGCUUUCGUGGGAGUUUCGGGCAUUUGUAGAGGUAGUUUCAAGACGCUUAUGGUAGUGGAUUGGACAGUGGGUGGAGGAUAAGCGGCGCGGUUAAUAGGGGAGGAGGGGACCGUAUAGUGGAUUGGACAGUGGGUGGAGGAUAAGCGGCGCGGUUAAUAGGGGAGGAGGAGACCGUUUAGUGGAUUGGACAGUGGGUGGAGGAUAAGUGGAGCGGUUAAUAGGGGAGGAGGGGACCGUAUAGUGGAUUGGACAGUGGGUGGAGGAUAAGCGGCGCGGUUAAUAGGGGUGGAGGAGACCGUAGAGUGGAUUGGACAGUGGGUGGAGGAUAAGUGGAGCGGUUAAUAGGGGUGGAGGAGACCGUAUAGUGGAUUGGACAGUGGGUGGAGGAUAAGCGGCGCGGUUAAUAGGGGAGGAGGGGACCGUAUAGCGGAUUGGACAGUGGGUGGAGGAUAAGCGGCGCGGUUAAUAGGGGUGGAGGAGACCGUUUAGUGGAUUGGACAGUGGGUGGAGGAUAAGCGGCGCGGUUAAUAGGGGAGGAGGAGACCGUAUAGUGGAUUGGACAGUGGGUGGAGGAUAAGUGGAGCGGUUAAUAGGGGAGGAGGGGACCGUAUAGUGGAUUGGACAGUGGGUGGAGGAUAAGUGGCGCGGUUAAUAGGGGUGGAGGAGACCGUAUAGUGGAUUGGACAGUGGGUGGAGGAUAAGCGGCGCGGUUAAUAGGGGAGGAGGGGACCGUAUAGUGGAUUGGACAGUGGGUGGAGGAUAAGUGGAGCGGUUAAUAGGGGAGGAGGAGACCGUUUAGUGGAUUGGACAGUGGGUGGAGGAUAAGUGGAGCGGUUUAAGGGGAGGUGGAGACCGUCUUUAGUUUGAUUAUUCUUCUGUAUCGUGAAACUUCAAAAAAAAACAA